UACGUAGGGUGCGAGCGUUAAUCGGAAUUACUGGGCGUAAAGGGCGCGUAGGCGGCCUUCUAAGUCGAACGUGAAAUCCCUGGGCUCAACCCAGGAACUGCGUCCGAUACUGGGAGGCUUGAAUCCGGGAGAGGGAUGUGGAAUUCCAGGUGUAGCGGUGAAAUGCGUAGAUAUCUGGAGGAACACCGGUGGCGAAGGCGGCAUCCUGGACCGGUAUUGACGCUGAUGCGCGAAAGCCAGGGGAGCAAACGGG
rnacentral:rRNA from 1 species